UACAGAGGCCUCGAGCGUUAGGCGGAAUCACUGGGCUUAAAGCGUGUGUAGGCGGAUGCCUAAGUACCUUGUGAAAUCCCACGGCUCACCCGUGGAACGGCUCGGUAUACUGGGCGUCUUGAGCCACCUAGGGGCUACCGGAACAAAUGGUGGAGCGGUGAAAUGCGUAGAUAUCAUUUGGAACGCCAACGGAGAAAUCAGGUAGCUGGGGGUGUGCUGACGCUGAGACACGAAAUCCAGGGGAGCGAACGGG
rnacentral:rRNA from 1 species